UUUUUUUUUUUCCAGUUUUUUGCUCAAUUGGAAACCAAUCCUAAAUGGGUAAACUAGCAUCGACAGAUGGGUGGACGAUAAUGGGGCUCCUUACUUAAAAAAAUGUCGGCCACGAGAAAACGAACGAAUCACUCUCUAAGGGUACACCAAAAGGACUUCCAUACUGUCCUGUCUAUCUGCGGUGUGAUCCAAGCUGCUGGGACGUUUGGACAUCCACACCUCUUAUUCAGCUUUUGCACUUGUGUCAGGCUGGUACAGUAACCAAGGCUAGCACAACAGCCUUGAACUCUGCUACUCAAGCAGGCAUGACAAUGGAGCUGAACUCAUUUGAUGACCAGUAUCUCAACUGUGGAGAAAGAAUGCUUCAGAAAGUUCUGGAACCAGGAGGAUUGCUGGAAAAAGAACUGCAAGCAGACUCGGAUUACUUGGAAGCUUGGAAAGAUGGGAAAAGACGCCCUAAGAAGGCUGAAUAAGACAAACGGCUGUUUCAACGUCAUAAGUGGAUUUCACACCAACUUUGAAAUGACAAAAGUGAACU